CCUACGGGAGGCAGCAGUGGGGAAUAUUGCACAAUGGGGGAAACCCUGAUGCAGCGACGCCGCGUGAGUGAAGAAGGAUUUCGGUAUGUAAAGCUCUAUCAGCAGGGAAGAAAAUGACGGUACCUGAUCAAGACCCCCCGGCCAACUACGUGCCAGCAGCCGCGGUACUAAGGAGGGGGCAAGCGUUAUCCGGAUUUACUGGGUGUAAAGGGAGCGUAGACGGCAGCACAAGUCUGGAGUGAAAUGCCGGGGCUUAACCCCGGAACUGCGUUUGAAACUGGGCAGCUGGAGAGCAGGAGAGGUAAGUGGAAUUCGUAGGGUAGCGGUGAAAUGCUUAGAUAUUAGGAAGAACGCCAAUGGCGAAGGCAGCUUACUGGACUGUAACUGACGUUGUGGCUCGAAAGCGUGGGGAGCAAACAGGAUUAGAUACCCUGGUAGUC
rnacentral:rRNA from 1 species